rnacentral:rRNA from 1 species
GACGAACGCUGGCGGCGUGCCUAACACAUGCAAGUCAACUUGAGGGAAGGAGCAAUCUGACCUGAUGGUGGCGCAAGGGUGCGUAACGCGUAAGUAACUUGCCCAAGGUAAGGAAUAACGUCGAGAAAUCGGCGCUAAUACCUCAUAAUGCAGCGGAUCCGCAUGGAUAUGUUGUUAAAGGUUUACCGCCUUGGGAUAGGCUUGCGUCUGAUUAGCUAGUUGGUGUGGUAAUGGCACACCAAGGCUACGAUCAGUAACUGGUCUGAGAGGAUGAUCAGUCACACUGGAACUGAGACACGGUCCAGACUCCUACGGGAGGCAGCAGUGAGGAAUAUUGGGCAAUGCACGAAAGUGUGACCCAGCAACGCUGCGUGGAGGAUGAAGGUAUUCUAUAUCGUAAACC